rnacentral:rRNA from 1 species
CCUACGGGGGGCAGCAGUGGGGAAUAUUGCACAAUGGGGGGAACCCUGAUGCAGCGACGCCGCGUGGGUGAAGGAGCACCUCGGUGCGUAAAGCCCUAUCGGCAGGGAAGAAACAGACGGUACCUGACUAAGAAGCCCCGGCUAACUACGUGCCAGCAGCCGCGGUAAUACGUAGGGGGCAAGCGUUAUCCGGAUUCACUGGGUGUAAAGGGAGCGUAGACGGCGACGCAAGUCUGGAGUGAAAGCCCGGGGCCCAACCCCGGGACUGCUCUGGAAACUGCGGCGCUGGAGUACGGGAGGGGCAG